rnacentral:lncRNA from 1 species
CCGGGAACCCCGAACAUCCCCUUUCUCUACUCUUUCCCUUUGGAGUCUAUAGAGGGAGAAGCAGAGCCUAAGGCUUCAUCAGUUUGAAUACUGGCUGGGGCUGGGCAAGUUAGUGGCUCAAAGUGUUGAAUCUGUCCCUAAAGCAGGGACAGAAAUGGAGGCUCAGGAGGUAGAGGUGGCAGUGGGCGUGCAGGAGAAGCUGUAGGUCAGGAGGUAGAGGUGGCAGUGGGCGUGCAGGAGAAGCUGAGGUCGGGAGGUAGAGGUGGCAGUGGGCGUGCAGGAGAAGCUGUAGGUCGGAAGGUAGAAGUGGCAGUGGGCGUGCAGGAGAAGCUGUAGGUCGGGAGGUAGAGGUGGCAGUGGGCGUGCAGGAGAAGCUGUAGGUCAGGGGGUAGAGGUGGCAGUGGGCGUGCAGGAGAAGUGUAGGUCAGGGGGUAGAGGUGGCAGUGGGCGUGCAGGAGAAGCUGUAGGUCGGGAGGUAGAGGUGGCAGUGGGCGUGCAGGAGAAGCUGUAGGUCAGGGGGCAGAGGUGGCAGUGGGCGUGCAGGAGAAGCUGUAGGUCGGGAGGUAGAGGUGGCAGUGGGCGUGCAGGAGAAGCUGUAGGUCGGGAGGUAGAGGUGGCAGUGGGCGUGCAGGAGAAGCUGUAGGUCGGAGAGGGUGCAGAGUGGAGAACAGAUGAGCUGGAGUCACACCAUGCCCUAUACCCAGCCAGAGGCCGAAGUGAGCCUGUCACGGUAAUGCCACUGCCUGCUUGAUUCCCUCCCAUGCCUAGCCUGGGUUCUUCAUGAUCCCUGAGGCCCUCUUUGAUGUCAUCCCGCUGCCUCAAAACCUGUGUGUGCUGGUGGCUCCCUCUGCUUUCCUUCCAGAUGACUCCUUCGCUUCAGCUCAAAUGUCACCUUUGGCUGUUAAAAUCCUUUCCGGAGGAAGUUGUAAACAAUGCCUACCCCUCCUCCCGAGGUCUCUGAUUCCACUCCAGGGAAGAUUGCUCUGGGGGAGCCAAUGAGUUUGUUGGGAUUACUUCCAGAGCAUAGGUGAGGGGUUAGUUACUUGAAUAUGAGUGCUGCCCACCAAAAGACCGCACUGAAAAGUCUUUACCCAGCAGGGGUGAUGGU